rnacentral:lncRNA from 1 species
ACUACUACAAAUCUCCUCCUCCUCCAUCUCCAUCUCCUCCACCCCCAUACUACUACAAGUCACCUCCUCCUCCAUCUCCAUCGCCGCCUGCACCUUACUAUUACAAAUCUCCACCACCACCUUCACCAUCUCCUCCUCCGCCUUACUACUAUAAGUCACCUCCUCCUCCAUCUCCUGUGCCUCAUCCACCUUACUAUUACAAAUCUCCACCGCCACCUUCACCAUCUCCUCCUCCGCCUUACUACUAUAAAUCACCUCCUCCCCCAUCUCCUGUGCCUCAUCCACCUUACUACUACAAGUCCCCGCCACCACCAGUGAAAUCUCCACCUUACUACUACAAUUCUCCUCCUCCACCAGUUGUAUAUCACCACCACCCCCAUCACCAGCUGGUCGUUAAGGUUGUAGGUAAAGUCUAUUUCUACAAAUGUUAUGACUGGGCAUACCCCGAAAAAUCUCAUAACAAGAAACACCUCAAAGGUAUGUUAUAAUUCAUAUAUACUUUAAUACUUCUUUUCUAUCCGUUUAUAGAUAUUAUUUCUAGUAUGAAAGUAUUCUCUCUUUUUAUUUUAUUGGGUUAUAGUUUAACUUUUAGUACUAUUUAAUUGAUGCAAUGUGCUUUUUCAUUACUUUUUGGAGAAGCAAAACGACUUUUCUAUAUAUACUUCUCUAAAACUCAGUUAAAAAAAAAAAAAAAAAAAAAAAAAAUUCAUGUUUCUAUUAUUUUAUCAAGGUCAACAAUAACUUUGCAUAAUUUUCCUUGUCUGAAAACGAUUUUGUUUAUUAUCAACAAAUGCAAUAUAUAUGACGAGAAUGGUGUAACUUUAAUUUUUAGAAGGGUUAGUUGUUAGUAGUAAUCUUAUAGUAAGACCAAUAAAUAACAUUUAAAACUACAAGUAUGCAAUUUGCUCUAUUGUUUUUUUAUGUAUGAAUUAUGAUUUGAGUUGUGUGUAUAUUUUAUUCAUGUUAACUUUUUAAAUUAUGAGACAGGAGCUGUUGUGGAAGUGACAUGCGAAGUAGGAAGUAAAACCAUAAAGGCAUAUGGUACAACAAAGAUCAAUGGAAAAUACAGUAUUACUGUGAAGGACUUUGAUUAUGUCAAAUAUGGAUCUGCAGUGUGCAAGGCUAAGCUCCAUGCUCCUCCUAAGGAUUCACCCUACAACAUCCCUACCUUGUUGAAUGAUGGAACUCACUUGUUUUUGAAGUCUGAGAACAAAUAUGAAGUUGUCCUCAAGGCUAAGCCAUUUGCUUAUGUUUCAAAGAAGUCAGAUGAAGAAUGUGAAAAACACAAUCACCACCACAAUCACAAACCUUCACCUACUCCAUAUUAUUACAACUCACCACCUCCUCCAUCAUCACCCACUUAUGUAUAUAAGUCUCCACCACCAUCACCAUAUUAUUACAAAUCUCCACCUCCACCAUCACCCACUUACAUAUAUAAGUCUCCUCCUCCACCUGCAUAUUAUUACAAGUCACCUCCUCCACCAUCACCAGUAUAUGUGUAUAAGUCUCCACCUCCACCAGCAUAUUAUUACAAAUCUCCACCCCCACCAUCACCUACUUAUGUCUAUAAGUCUCCACCUCCUCCUCCAUACUACUACAAGUCUCCACCCCCACCAUCACCAUCUCCUCCACCGCCUUACUAUUACAAAUCUCCUCCCCCACCCAAAGAGUUGCCACACCCUACUCCUUACUAUUAUAAAUCACCACCUCCACCAUCUCCAUCGCCACCACCUCCUUACUACUACAAGUCACCUCCACCACCAUCACCUUCUCCUCCUCCUCCAUACUACUACAAAUCCCCUCCCCCACCUAAAGAAUUGCCACACCCUACUCCUUACUACUAUAAAUCACCGCCUCCACCAUCUCCAUCACCACCACCUCCUUACUACUACAAGUCACCUCCACCACCAUCACCUUCCCCUCCUCCUCCAUACUACUACAAAUCCCCUCCACCACCGUCUCCAUCGCCUCCUCCUCCAUACUACUACAAGUCUCCUCCUCCUCCAGAAAAAUCGCCAGAACAUCCUCCUUACUACUACAAAUCUCCUCCUCCACCAUCACCAUCACCUCCUCCUCCAUACUACUACAAGAGUCCUCCACCACCAUCCCCAUCACCACCACCCACUUACUACUACAAAUCACCACCUCCACCAUCACCUUCACCACCGCCUCCUUACUAUUACAAGUCACCUCCACCACCAUCUCCAUCACCACCUCCUCCUUAUUAUUACAAAUCUCCUCCACCUCCCUCGCCUUCUCCACCACCUCCUUACUACUACAAGAGUCCUCCUCCACCAUCUCCCUCUCCUCCUCCUCCCUACUACUACAAAUCUCCUCCACCACCAUCACCGUCUCCCCCACCACCUUACCAUUACGUAAGCCCUCCUCCACCAUCCCCAUCUCCACCACCACCAUAUCACUAUACCUCACCACCUCCUCCAUCCCCAACUCCUACUCCCAC